CAGUCGAGCGGUAGCACAGAGAGCUUGCUCUCGGGUGACGAGCGGCGGACGGGUGAGUAAUGUCUGGGAAACUGCCUGAUGGAGGGGGAUAACUACUGGAAACGGUAGCUAAUACCGCAUAACGUCGCAAGACCAAAGUGGGGGACCUUCGGGCCUCAUGCCAUCAGAUGUGCCCAGAUGGGAUUAGCUAGUAGGUGGGGUAACGGCUCACCUAGGCGACGAUCCCUAGCUGGUCUGAGAGGAUGACCAGCCACACUGGAACUGAGACACGGUCCAGACUCCUACGGGAGGCAGCAGUGGGGAAUAUUGCACAAUGGGCGCAAGCCUGAUGCAGCCAUGCCGCGUGUGUGAAGAAGGCCUUCGGGUUGUAAAGCACUUUCAGCGGGGAGGAAGGCGGUAAGGUUAAUAACCUUGGCGAUUGACGUUACCCGCAGAAGAAGCACCGGCUAACUCCGUGCCAGCAGCCGCGGUAAUACGGAGGGUGCAAGCGUUAAUCGGAAUUACUGGGCGUAAAGCGCACGCAGGCGGUCUGUCAAGUCGGAUGUGAAAUCCCCGGGCUCAACCUGGGAACUGCAUUCGAAACUGGCAGGCUAGAGUCUUGUAGAGGGGGGUAGAAUUCCAGGUGUAGCGGUGAAAUGCGUAGAGAUCUGGAGGAAUACCGGUGGCGAAGGCGGACCCCCUGGAACAAAGACUGACGCUCAGGUGACGAAAGCGUGGGGAGCAAACAGGAUUUAGAUACCCUGGUAGUCCACGCCGUAAACGAUGUCGAUUUGGAGGUUGUGCCCUUGAGGCGUGGCUUCCCGGAGCUAACGCGUUAAAUCGACCGCCUGGGGAGUACGGCCGCCAAGGUUAAAACUCAAAUGAAUUGACGGGGGCCCGCACAAGCGGUGGAGCAUGUGGUUUAAUUCGAUGCAACGCGAAGAACCUUACCUGGUCUUGACAUCCACAGAACUUUCCAGAGAUGGAUUGGUGCCUUCGGGAACUGUGAGACAGGUGCUGCAUGGCUGUCGUCAGCUCGUGUUGUGAAAUGUUGGGUUAAGUCCCGCAACGAGCGCAACCCUUAUCCUUUGUUGCCAGCGGUUAGGCCGGGAACUCAAAGGAGACUGCCAGUGAUAAACUGGAGGAAGGUGGGGAUGACGUCAAGUCAUCAUGGCCCUUACGACCAGGGCUACACACGUGCUACAAUGGCAUAUACAAAGAGAAGCGACCUCGCGAGAGCAAGCGGACCUCAUAAAGUAUGUCGUAGUCCGGAUUGGAGUCUGCAACUCGACUCCAUGAAGUCGGAAUCGCUAGUAAUCGUAGAUCAGAAUGCUACGGUGAAUACGUUCCCGGGCCUUGUACACACCGCCCGUCACACCAUGGGAGUGGGUUGCAAAAGAAGUAGGUAGCUUAACCUUCGGGAGGGCGC
rnacentral:rRNA from 1 species